ACACCAGCGCUGCAAACUGUUUAACCCUAUAGAACAAUGAAUGGAGUUCAGAUAAUCCCAGAAACUAGAGUCCAAGAUCUUCAACAGUGACUAGUGAGGAUGCAUGCAUAAGGAACAUCAGUGAUUGAAGACUGUGUACAAACAGCAGAGAAUUACAAAAGCUUGGAACUUAAAAACUUUGAUGAAACACACCCAGGAGAUUUAAAGAUUCCAAAUAUAAACAAUAGAGCUGAGGUUGUAUAGUCAGAAAAUAUGUGGAGUUUAAAUGAUUUAUCUUCUCCUACAUUCAAGAAAGCACUGGUCUACAAGAUGCACUGAGAUAUUGUGCUUCAGUUCUCCCCAUAAGCAUUACAAAAAGAACUUGCUGGCAUCCUAUUGUAGCUAAUCUUUUGGAGACUUAUAUUCACAUACAUUAAAGGAUGUUCUCAUGUAUUAUUUCACAACCAUAAAAUGUAGAAUCUGUUUCUUAGGUAUAUCAAUUUAGACAGUAAUUUC